UACGGAGGGGGCUAGCGUUGUUCGGAAUUACUGGGCGUAAAGCGCGUGUAGGCGGCCUUCUAAGUCUGGUGUGAAAGCCCGGGGCUCAACCCCGGAAGUGCAUUGGAUACUGGGAGGCUGGAGUACCGGAGAGGAGGGUGGAAUUCCUGGUGUAGCGGUGAAAUGCGUAGAUAUCAGGAGGAACACCGGUGGCGAAGGCGGCCCUCUGGACGGAUACUGACGCUGAGACGCGAAAGCGUGGGGAGCAAACAGG
rnacentral:rRNA from 1 species